rnacentral:other from 1 species
CCUCUGCUGUUUUCGGUGAGGCGAUCGACAGUUGGAUCCCUGGUAAGUCUGAACCCGGGGACCAAAUCGUCGGUUGCGGUGUGCAUGCCCAGGAUAUGUUCACUGGGAAGCCUAAAGCGGCCCAUCCGGUCCCCACCUAGCGAAAGCUAGGGGUUCAAUCCGAUCGGCCCACGUUGACGGCGGUACG